GAUAUCUGUGACUCGGUGGGCUUCUUAUGGCAUCCACCAAUCUUCCGCCAAUCAUGAUGGAUCAUCUCUAUUCCAUGGAUAACAUCUUAAAGCUGAAGGGCCCCUUUUGCUGCUCCAAGAAGUCCGUGAGAAUCCUAUUGUAGGUGAUGAGUUGCCACCUGAAACUACCCCCAUAAUUGAACCUGCCUCCAUAUCCAGGUGCUGCAUUAAGAAAGGCCUUUUUUCGGCUGUCCCUUUAUUAUUUCAAUAUCCUUGCAGCAUCAGUAAAGGUUGGUCAGAGUGGGUUGACCGCGAUUUGCUAGAACCGUCUACUUGGAACAUUUUGCGCAGGGCACAGGUUCUUGACGCCAUUUUCCUUUCCAAGCUGUGG
rnacentral:lncRNA from 1 species